AGCUCCAAUAGCGUAUAUUAAAGUUGUUGCAGUUAAAAAGCUCGUAGUUGAACUUCUGGUAGAGUUAACCUGACUUGAGUAUUUUGCUCUAGAUCGUGCGUUAACUUGGCCAUCUUGGCUUUUUUCGGAAAGUCUCGUUUACUGUAAAAAAAUUAGGUAAGUUGUUUAGAUGCAUUUUGAGUUUGUUGUUUACAAAUAAAAUACUAACUUGAAAUGUAAAAAUAACAGAGUGUUCAAAGCAAAAAGUAUUUUUGAAUAUAUUAGUAUGGAAUAAUAAGAUAAGGCUUCUGUGUUAUUUUGUUGGUUUGCCACAGAUGCAAUGAUUAAAAGGGACGGUUGGGGGUAUUCGUAUUCCGAUGUCAGAGGUGAAAUUCUUGGAUUUUCGAAAGACGAACAACUGCGAAGGCAUUUACCAAGGAUGUUUUCA
rnacentral:rRNA from 1 species